rnacentral:rRNA from 1 species
UACGGGGGGGGCAAGCGUUGUUCGGAAUUACUGGGCGUAAAGGGCUCGUAGGCGGCCAACUAAGUCAGACGUGAAAUCCCCAGGCUCAACCUGGGAACUGCGUCUGAUACUGGUUGGCUUGAAUCCGGGAGAGGGAUGCAGAAUUCCAGGUGUAGCGGUGAAAUGCGUAGAUAUCUGGAGGAAUACCGGUGGCGAGGGCGGCAUCCUGGACCGGCAUUGACGCUGAGGAGCGAAAGCUAGGGGAGCAAACGGGG